rnacentral:rRNA from 1 species
GUGAAAUUGUUGAAAGGGAAACGAUUAAAGUCAGUCGUACCGAUGAGCAUUCAGCCUUUUGGGUGCGAUUAUGUGGUACACGAAAAGAUUUCGUGAAUUGCAUAUUUGUGCCUUUUGGGUGUACUUGUUCGUAUGGUAGGUUAACAUCAAUUUCGGACGUCAUAAAAUGGCGGGAGGAAUGUAGCUUCUCCGGAAGUGUUAUAGCCUCUGGUAGAUGUGAUAACUGGGAUUGAGGAUUGCAACGAAUACCCUCUGGGCUUAUUUGUCUGGCCUCUGGUCGUCGCUUUGGUGCCGAAAGCGUGCUUAUGGUAUUAAAGUAGGUGGUCAAAAGGUUAGAACGGAUUAAAUUCGUUAAGGAUGUUGACGUAAUGGCUUUAAACGAC